CAAAAAGAGAAAAUGACCCAAAUAGCACUAAUCCAAGUUUUUAUCCCCAAAAGAACACUCAGGGUCAAAAAUCACAAAAAUAGGUUUCAUUAAUAAGAACAUUUACCAUAUUACCCUUUUUCUAAUAUACUAAUUACACAAAUAAAAAAAUUAUAAAUCAAUUAUCUUCUCUCCAGUUCUUCACGCCGUCGUCAUCUCUGGUGAUCUCCUUCAGCCCCGCCGUCGUCAUCUCUGGCGAUUUCCCUCAGCUCCACCGUCAUCAUUUCCACCGUCAACUUUUAAGGAGAGCGAAAACCCCUAACCGUCAACUUUCCGCCGUCAUCUAUGGAGCGCGACAAAGAAGGAGAUGUGCAAUAACAGAGGAGGCGAAGAAACAUCUAAUCUGAGGCCUAUUAUAAGCGGCGAGUCUCUCAACAUUGAAUCUUAUUCGAUGCUUUACAAAGGACGAGCGAAGAUCAUGUGCCUACUCUUCAUCGCAAGCUAUUACGGAGGAAACCAGAUGCUGCAGCUUGAACUGUUGAGGAUGGCUCACGAUGAGAUCCAAAAGGGAGAGAACACACAUUUGUUCAGAGAUCUGGUUAAUAGGAUCAACAGGAGGUAAGUAUAAGAGGGAUUCUCCAUGAUCUUGAGAGAAAGAGUGUUGUUGAGGACUUGAAGGUUGAUAUCAAGGCUGAGGCUGAGAAGUCGGAUGGAAGUGGUACUGCUGCCACAAAGAGGAAGGUAUACACACAAAGCCUUGUGCAUUGGUUUUUAUUAUGUGUUUGAUUACAAGAUUUAUGCUUUUGUGUUGAUUAGAUGUUUCUGUAUUAGUCUAUGAUGUUUUGGUAAUUCCUAUGAUCAAGUAUAACUGGCUGUUGCUGGAGAAUAGUGAUUAUACUUGUGUAGCAAGAUCUAGAUGUUUUACAGCAAUUGUAGAAGUUUGUUGAAAUGAUGCUUAUAGAUUGAUCUAUUAACAACAAAAGAAUGAUACAUGUUUGUGGUUUUCUAUUCAAUGUGGAUGCUUAAGUGUUCAGCUUCUUUUUUUUCUGAAUUUAUUUUCAGACAUUAGGCUUGCCAUAGAUUGCAGUUGUUGACUAGUGUUUAUCAGUAUGUUAAUGUGGAUCCUGCAUAUAUAUUGAUUGCUUCUCGUGCACUCAAUCCCCAACUCUUUCAACCCCUUGACAAGCUCCGUAGAGAUCCUCAGCAACCUCUCCCUGUUGGUUUUCACAAUCCUCUGAACAAAACUCAUUAUACAUUCAAGCUGUAGGCUGCGCGUGUGAGAGUUGCCGAGCAAUACAUUCAAGCUUUUGGAAACAUCGCUAAGGAGGGUACAACAAUGCUGCAAAUCCAGCUAGCAUGAUCGCUCAAGCUUUGACAAUGUACAAAAGCCUCGUCCCCAGUGCUGGUAUCUAGGAAAUAUCAACAGUAGAAUCCUCUUCUAAAUUGGUAUCAAAAACGUGUGGUAAAAAAAAGAACUAGGAAACAAUUGUAAUUCUUUUGACCUGGGAACAGCUUUUCAGUAUGACAUAGGAAACAGUUAUCUUACCUUUAUUUCUAGUCUGCAACCAGAAAACAGAUGUAAACUCUAAUUUCUUAAAGAAGCUUUUGCACCUUAUUUGGUCUUA